rnacentral:rRNA from 1 species
AUUGAACGCUGGCGGCAGGCCUAACACAUGCAAGUCGAACGAGUGGCGGACGGGUGAGUAAUGUCUGGGAAACUGCCUGAUGGAGGGGGAUAACUACUGGAAACGGUAGCUAAUACCGCAUACCAUCAGAUGUGCCCAGAUGGGAUUAGCUAGUUGGUGGGGUAACGGCUCACCAAGGGGUCGAUCCCUAGCUGGUCCGAGAGAGUGACGAGCCACUCUGGAACGGGGACACGGUCCAGACUCCUACGGGAGGCAGCAGUGGGAAAUAUUGGACAAUGGGCGAAAGCCUGAUCCAGCCAGGCGGCGUGUGGGAAGAAGGUCUUCGGAUUGUAAAGUACUUUCAGCGGGGAGGCGUUACCCGCAGAAGAAGCACCGGCUAACUCCGUGCCAGCCGCCGCGGUAAUUC